UACGGGGGGGGCAAGCGUUGUUCGGAAUUACUGGGUGUAAAGGGCUCGUAGGUGGCCAACUAAGUCAUACGUGAAAUCCCUCGGCUUAACCGGGGAACUGCGUCUGAUACUGGAUGGCUUGAGGUUGGGAGAGGGAUGCGGAAUUCCAGGUGUAGCGGUGAAAUGCGUAGAUAUCUGGAGGAACACCGGUGGCGAAGGCGGCAUCCUGGACCAAUUCUGACACUGAGGAGCGAAAGCCAGGGGAGCAAACGGG
rnacentral:rRNA from 1 species